GUGGAUUAGAUACCCUAGUAGUCCACGCCGUAAACGGUGGGCACUAGGUGUGGGGGACAUUCCACGUUCUCCGUGCCGAAGCUAACGCAUUAAGUGCCCCGCCUGGGGAGUACGGUCGCAAGACUAAAACUCAAAGGAAUUGACGGGGGCCCGCACAAGCGGCGGAGCAUGCGGAUUAAUUCGAUGCAACGCGAAGAACCUUACCUGGGUUUGACAUAUGCCGGAAAGCUGCAGAGAUGUAGCCCCCGCAAGGUCGGUAUACAGGUGGUGCAUGGCUGUCGCCAGCU
rnacentral:rRNA from 1 species